rnacentral:rRNA from 1 species
AGAGUUUGAUCCUGGCUCAGAUUGAACGCUGGCGGCAGGCCUAACACAUGCAAGUCGAACGGUAACAGGAAACAGCUUGCUGUUUCGCUGACGAGUGGCGGACGGGUGAGUAAUGUCUGGGAAACUGCCUGAUGGAGGGGGAUAACUACUGGAAACGGUAGCUAAUACCGCAUAACGUCGCAAGACCAAAGAGGGGGACCUUCGGGCCUCUUGCCAUCGGAUGUGCCCAGAUGGGAUUAGCUUGUUGGUGGGGUAACGGCUCACCAAGGCGACGAUCCCUAGCUGGUCUGAGAGGAUGACCAGCCACACUGGAACUGAGACACGGUCCAGACUCCUACGGGAGGCAGCAGUGGGGAAUAUUGCACAAUGGGCGCAAGCCUGAUGCAGCCAUGCCGCGUGUAUGAAGAAGGCCUUCGGGUUGUAAAGUACUUUCAGCGGGGAGGAAGGGAGUAAAGUUAAUACCUUUGCUCAUUGACGUUACCCGCAGAAGAAGCACCGGCUAACUCCGUGCCAGCAGCCGCGGUAAUACGGAGGGUGCAAGCGUUAAUCGGAAUUACUGGGCGUAAAGCGCACGCAGGCGGUUUGUUAAGUCAGAUGUGAAAUCCCCGGGGCUCAACCCUGGGAACUGCAUCUGAUACUGGGAAGCUUGAUUCUCGUAGAGGGGGGGUAGAAUUCCAGGUGUAGCGGUGAAAUGCGUAGAGAUCUGGGAGGAAUACCGGUGGCGAAGGCGGCCCCCUGGACGAAGACUGACGCUUCAGGUGCGAAAGCGUGGGGGAGCAAACAGGGAUUAGAUACCCUUG